UAGAACCGGUGUCUGGAUUAUUGGGUUAAGGGUGCGCAGGCGCCCAGAUAAGUCAGUGGUGAAAGCCUACCGCUUAACGGUAGAAUUGCCAUUGAUACUGUUUGGCUUAAGUAUAGUAGAGGUUGGCGGAAUGUAUCAUGAAGCGGUGAAAUGCAUAGAUAUGAUACAGAACACCGAUUGCGAAGGCAGCUGACUAAGCUAUUACCGACGCUCAUGCACGAAAGCGUGGGGAUCAAACAGGAUUAGAUACCCUGGUAGCCGACGCCGUAAACGUUGAUAAGUCGAUGUUGGCGAUAUACUGUCAGCGUCUUAGCGAAAGCGUUAAGUUAUCCACCUGGGGAGUACGCUCACAAGAGUGAAACUCAAAGAAAUUGACGGGGGCCCGCACAAGCGGUGGAGCAUGUGGUUUAAUUCGAUGAUACGCGAGGAACCUUACCUGGACUUAAAUGGGAAUUGACGAAUGCAGAAAUGUAUU
rnacentral:rRNA from 1 species